rnacentral:lncRNA from 1 species
UUGAGUUUUCUUUAGAAGUUGUUUUAACAAUCUUGUGAUUGUGGGAGUCAUCUUCAACCUUCUUCUUGCCAUUGAUAUUCUUUGGAGGGGAGAUUAGAGCCGUUUGAAGGGAGUUGUGAGAUCUUUCGAGAUUUCAAGGCUUCUUAGGACUUAUCUUUUAAUUUCUUACUGUCAAUUCUUUCUUUAUUUCUACUUGUGCUGAAUCAUUAUCUAAUCUAUUUU